rnacentral:rRNA from 1 species
UACGUAGGGUGCAAGCGUUAAUCGGAAUUACUGGGCGUAAAGCGCACGUAGGCGGAUAUUUAAGUCAGGGGUGAAAUCCCAGAGCUCAACUCUGGAACUGCCUUUGAUACUGGGUAUCUUGAGUAUGGAAGAGGUAAGUGGAAUUGCGAGUGUAGAGGUGAAAUUCGUAGAUAUUCGCAGGAACACCAGUCGGCAGAAGGCGGCUUACUGG